AUAGCUUGCUAAUGAAAUUCUUAGUGGCGGACGGGUUAGUAACACGUGAGAAUCCUACCCUUGAGUGGGGAAUAGCCUUUCGAAAGGAAGAUUAAUGCCCCAUAGUCUCUACGGAGUAAAGAUGCCUUCGGGUGUCGCUUAAGGAUGGGCUCGCGGCCUAUCAGCUAGUUGGUGAGGUAAGAGCUCACCAAGGCAACGACGGGUAGCUGGUCUGAGAGGACGAUCAGCAACACUGGAACUGAGACACGGUCCAGACACCUACGGGUGGCAGCAGUCGAGAAUCAUUCACAAUGGACGAAAGUCUGAUGGUGCAACGCCGCGUGGAGGAUGACGGCCCUAGGGUUGUAAACUCCUGUCAUCAGGGAGUAAGACUUAUUCGUUAAUAGCGUGUAAGUUUGAUAGUACCUGAAGAGGAGGGGACGGCUAACUUCGUGCCAGCAGCCGCGGUAAUACGAAGGUCCCAAGCGUUGUUCGGAAUAACUGGGCGUAAAGCGUGUGUA
rnacentral:rRNA from 1 species